CCUACGGGCGGCAGCAGUGAGGAAUAUUGGUCAAUGGACGCAAGUCUGAACCAGCCAUGCCGCGUGCAGGAAGACGGCUCUAUGAGUUGUAAACUGUUUUUGUACGAGGGUAAAUCCCGAUACGUGUAUCGGGGUGAAAGUAUCGUACGAAUAAGGAGCGGCUAACUCCGGGCCAGCAGCCGCGGUAAUACGGAGGAUUCAAGCGUUAUCCGGAUUUAGUGGGUUUAAAGGGUGCGUAGGUGGUUAGAUAAGUUAGAGGUGAAAGCCCGGGGCUAAACUCCGGCAUUGCAUCUGCUACGAUCGGGCUAGAGUUUAGUUGCGGUAGGCGGAAUUUAUGGUGUAGCGGUGAAAUGCAUAGAGAUCAUACAGAACACCGAUUGCGAAGGCAGCUUACCAAACUACGACUGACGUUGAGGCACGAAAGCGUGGGGAGCAAACAGGAUUAGAUACCCCGGUAGUC
rnacentral:rRNA from 1 species